GAUACUCUUUGGUUGGAAGAAUAACCCAGUCCCGUGCUAGAGAAGGCUUUGAUCAAUUUACUGACAACCUGAAAUGAAUGAAAAGGCCCUACUCCCAGCAAGGGAGCCUUCGUAGGAGUGUAUAGUGUAUUGGAUGCUUUCCCAGCCCUGUAGGAGUUUUUGAGGAGCGUGCUGAGUGUAUUUCAGUUGCUUUUAUUGAACUGCAAUGAACGAGCUGGUUUUUUUUCUUGGAGCACUAUUGCUGCAGUGUUCCCAUCAGACUGUGUGCAGGAAGCAUCUUUCUUCUAUUCCUCCAUGUGGGUACACACAGACCAGGGUUUGGAGAAUUUACAGCGGCUCCAGGUUUGUAACCUGCAGUGCAAGGGGAACAUCUGCCUGUGCGGAGUGAGUGUCUGACCAUGGAGCUGUGCCCUGGCGUCACAUCCAGGCUAACUCCAUGGGACGGCUACUGAAAGCGUGCACUGAGGAACUGGCCCAGAGGAAGCAACUCCACAAUCAUGGCUCAUCAGCCGGGCAGGAAGCAGCGGGUCAAAGUUAGAAGUAACUUACUUAAAUGCUAUUGAGUGAGCAGGGCAGUAAAUGUAAAGAGAAAGCAUGGUUCAAUAGCCAGCAGAGAGGCUUGUGGCAUUCUAUGUUUAGGCCCUUUUCGCACUUGCUCUGUAGGUUCACGUCUGUUCAACCAGAGAGAUGCCAAGAGGGUGAUCUAUGAAAUCAGAAUCUGCAGUAUUAGAAUUGGAAAUUCACGUUGGAGAAACGUGAAAGCAAUUGGGCCGAAUCCAUUCCUGUUGUUACUCCUUCUGUUUUCACUGGAGUUACUCCAAGGCUGAAUUCAGCAUAUGAUGAACAACUUGUUCUCCAACGUUGGAGCUUAAGGGAGAAGUUUUUAAGGAUGAUCACGCAACUCUGAGGCUCCUUCUCAAACAGCUGAAGCUCACACGAGAGAGACGAUAUAUGGAACUACAGCCCCUACCGUUUGUCAGACGUGCAGGUCCAAGAUGUAAUCACUUCUCCGGUAUUAUUUGACCAUCAAGAGCUCUGUAAUUUGGACCAAGACUUUUGGAAGACUUCAACACUAAACCAUGCAUGUUAUUGCCUAGCUUAAGCACAAGGAGGGAGGGGCGUAUUUAUUUCUGCAAGGCAACCAAACACAAUAUAAAUGUCUGGAUUUAUGCAACGUGAGUUUGGCAGAGUUUAAAGGUGGGACCAGCUCAGGCCCCUGGUCCAUGAACCUUCCCUCCUCUCAGAGCCCAGCACCAGAUUAGCAGUAACGCCUGUGGAGACAGACUUCUUAAAAAACUGAAUCAAAUCUGGAUGGAGGACACAGAUAAGCAGCCUGGAGGAGAGAGCUGGAUCCCAUCUGAGCACGGCCAGGACUGCAGAGGCCCCACUCGCUCGUCGGCACGAGGGUGAUUGCUCAGCGGCAGAGACAGGCAAGGGUGAGAAAGGAAACAGCUAUGAUCCCUUUUUGGACCAUUUGCUCCUAUUCAUCCCCUUAGAUGUAUCCAAUGUAAAUAACCUUUCAUAUCACUUUACAAAGCGAUUGCUAAGUGAGAUGGAGGAGAAGGUAAUCUGUAACGUAAUAAUUUCUGUCUUUUCUCUUUAUCUUCCUGCUUGGUCACAGAAAGGAAAUCUGUCUGGUUGUUAAUUUGAAAGCAUUUGUAGUAGUGAUGGCAGAAUAGAUAUGAAAGUUCACAGGACUCUGGCAACCCUUAAUGUAUUGAGACUUUCCGAUGAAAAGAUGAAAGCUGCCUGGAAAGGAUUCCCCUUUGUCACGAAAACCUCACAAUACCAGGGGACAGCUGUUUGCCUGGAUUCUGCAUCUCAGAUGUGAGGAAUCGGAACAGGCAUGUGCUCUGUGAUACGAUGACCAUAACCCCAAAGACAGGUAAAUCAUUCUUUAUAAGCAAGAAACAUCAUACAGAAUUAACGUUUUCUGUAAAAGAUAUUUUCCAGAUUUCAUUCGCUACUUGACAUAAUCAAAAACAGAGCUUAAAAUGCAUGAAUUCUUUUGAACGAGUUUUAUAUUCUAGUGCUCUAGAGAUGGACUUGGUGCUGCUCAAGCGUGGCCGGACAGAGGGGUCUGUUCUGGCAAGCAGCUCUCCAGUUGUUGUACAAGAGCACGAAGGUGCAGCAGGUGGCAAAAGUUCCCUGGGAGAGGUUGAGUCCGGAGUCUUUCUUCACCCCCCUCAAGCCAAGCUGUGCUUUCCCUCAUUCCCUGUAUCGAAUACUUUUGAGUUUUCAUUUGAAAAUCAGAAUGGAAACAAAAAAAGGCCAGGGAUGAAGCUUCCGCAAGCGUGCAGUCUGCGAGGCUGAGGCAACACAAGCUUCACAUGAAGGGUGAGCUUCUGGAAAAUCUCCCCGAGGUUGUCUUGAUCUGCUUUUAUGUUCCACAUGGUAUCUUUGCUGUGGCUUCAAACCCAGCAUUGGGCUCAAGUGUGACCGAGUUGCUUGAGUGGCCGUCAUGCAAAGGCCUUUUAAUGAAGCAGAGGUGUUGCUGUGAAGUUCAGGGAGGAGAAAUAACCCCCUCCGAGCUCCCUGUGAGCCUCCCUGUUAGAACACUUUUAGUGAUGACUCUUAUUAGUUCAUCCUACAUCAGGAAAUCCUACACUGAGCUUCCCACUGUGCCACACUGUGCUGGUAAUGUCACCAGGGCAAAACAUGUCUGCAUGGAAGCGUUUCCCUAGUAUUAAUUUCUUUAACUUUGGCAGAUGCAUAUAUUUCCUUCUUUCCUUCUUCUCUCCGCUUUUGGUUAUUGCUUCAAAUGAAUAAGACAACAAACGAUGUAAAGAAGGAAUGACAAAAAUAUGCAAAUUAAAUAGCAAGAUUAACCCAACUGUGAGCUCAGUGUGUGCAGGCAUAAGAAAGAGGAAGAAUAUUGAAUGAAGCUUUCAAAACUUUCUUUGCCAGAGCUCGAUCUCCAGACACUAAUUUAGCUGUACUAGUAAUGCAUUUAAGUGUGUUCCACUGUUAAGCAAUAUUUUCCCUGCUGAGCAGUUCUGGAGUAGCUGUUAGCUAUAGGCUUUCCGCAGGCUGAGGUCUGUGGGUCAGGAGCGCUCUAUCUUCCACCAGCACAUCUCCCUGAACUGUUUCCCACAUUGGUGAACUGUCUUCAGGCAACAUGAGUUCCAGGUUUCAAAGCGUUUUAGCUCAAUUUACAAGGCGGCGGCUGAGAUCAAUUCAACUGCUUGCUGCUCCUGCCAGUGAGAGCCAUCGUGUCUGGAAACUCAGCACCGUCCCGUGUCACAUCUCAGCUGAAAACAAUGCUGACUUUGCUGCAAGGAGCUGUGCUUAGCCACUGCAUGCUCCCUGCAAGUUGCCUAAGCCACUGCUCCCCUGCAUUUAAACACAGAUACUUUAUUUCCUUUUAGGUGAUGCAAAGUCUUCCUUUUCCAGUCUUCAGGCAUGCGUUCAUGUAAGUUCAAUUCACAGCUUGCAGAGCACCCAUGGAAGGCUGUGACACCAGGGAUGAAGGAGGACAUCCCUUCAUCCCUUUGUUGCUGCUAAAGACAGAGAUUAUUUGUAAUGUAAAAGUUAUUGUCUCGGGCAGCCUUCCUCUCACCAGUGAGCAGUUUCAGAAUGCUUUAAAUUAAGUCUGGAGGCUAAAAGUGUGUUAGUCAUCGCCCAUACAUCUUAGGGGAAGCAGGGCUCUCUAAAGUUAUUGUUAGCAUCAAGCAUCUGGAUUAUGUUUAUAAUGAUUUAUUCAAUGAUGGGAGACAGGUAGGGAACCAUCGUAGAAGACAAACGAGAAAAGAUUGGGGGUUUCAAAGAUCUGAAGCCAUUGUUAAAUCAAAGUUGUCUGACUUCAAAAGGAAUACAUAACUUGAUUAGGUUCUUUAAACAAUGUACAAUGCUCACAAAGUUGGCAGAUAUUAUUAGAGGCAGAGUUGGUAGCACAGCCUGCUCUGGAGGUUGCUUGUCCUUUCUAAGCACAAGAUCCUGUUCUUGACUCUGGCUUUUUCCUUUUUUUUUGAAAAAAUUUUAGCCAAGUACUUUAACUGCCUGCGAGAGCCAGGGCAGAGAAGAAUACAUUGUUUUUUUCAGUGUUAGAAUAAUUCAGGAAAUCCUUUCUUUGGAAAGAUCUAAUGCUUCCAUACUUUGAAACAGGGUCUUAAAUCCAAUGGGGGAAGAUAGGCUUUGUGCUAGAGACGGGCGCGUUGCCAUCACCACAAGGACACGACCACAGUUGUUUCAGUUUUAUGGGCAUCUGAAAAAGUCUAAGUUGGGGUAUGUGCAGCAGAGCUUUGCAAGAGCUUAGCUAAGAUUAGAGAAGAGUCUCUGCACAUGUGCCCUUGUGCCUGGCCCUCACCUGCCUGCACGAGUGGUGAAAUUGGUCUUUCCUGGUAAGAACUAGCUCUCGCUAGAAGUGGACCUUCGGCAGGGAGGAGAGAAAGCCCCUCUGCCGUGGCUUCCAGCAUGCUGGAGCAGAGAUGGGGACUGUGCCUGGAAGCAGGAGCUGGUGGGAUGGGCAGGUUGGGAACAGCAGGCUGAAAGGUGAUGGAUCUGUGUCCAUUCAAUCACCUCUCCCCAGCGUGAUGGGGGAGUGCCUUCCUCUCCUGCCAGAAAUCAUUGUUGAGCCUCACAAGCAAUAAUCCUCUUUUCCUCCAGGUGCAGAUGCAGGCAGAGGAUAACACAGAGCUGCUGCACCCCCCUCCCCCUCACCCCCAGGUCAUCGUGCACCCCCAGGCGUAGGAGGGCAGCUCUGGGCACUCAGCGGGAUGUAGGCAAAAGCUCUAUCUGGAGGUCCUCAACUCUUCUUCCGGCUGAAAGAAGAAGAGUUGAGGAUCAUCUUACUUUUUUGGAUAAAAGACGCUGUCCUGCAUUGCAGCUGAUAUGCUCAGCAGGUUUAAUUCUCCAUGAUGGCAAUUCCAAACUGCUGGGCAGGAGCUUCUCAAUUUUCCUUUCGUAGCAUAGAGGGGAUAAAUCAUUGUUAUUGCUCUGUCUUCUGCCUUGUUUCAGAGCAACCUGCCUUCCUGCUGCAGAGAUGUGGUGAAGGGACACAAGGGGCUGAGCAGCCAGAGGUGCAGCUGCCAGAGUGGGCACUUUUCCUGCAGCAGGAAAACCAGGUCUACAUAACUUUACUUCUCUUUUUUUUUCAUUUUUCCAAAACACACCUUCACCCAAGGGAUGACCCAGCUGGGGUUUACCAGCCUGCCAAGGAAGGAGCUCAAUGGAAUGUUGUGGAUUUGGGGGCAAACCAGUGCUCAUGGAGAACUUUCCAAAGCUUUGUUAUAAAGUCAGCACACCCAUGCCACCAACUUCAGCCAGUCUUGGGUGGUGUCCCCUCCUGCCAUGAUGUAGUGAUAUCUCCUCCCCAUGGGGACAGGUUGCUGAGGUGACCAACAUCUGUCAGACCUGCAGCCACCCCAAAAUAGGGAUAAAUAACCCACAUGUUGCAUUGAUGCCCUUCACCUGGGAUGAACCCUACAUGCAUCACCAGUGUGUUGCUCUUUGCCAUGACCAAAGCACCAUGUGAGAGAUGUCUCUGGGUUGAGGAAGAGCACGAGGGGCACGGUACACCCUGAACGGCUCUGAGUGACAUGCACACAGUGUCACGCAUACAGCACGAGGACCGAACCGGUGCUCGGUGUGGGAAGUUUGUGGAGCUACUGGAAGGAAGCCAGCAGCCUGCGUCUGCUCGAGUUAGAAAAGCGUCCCAGCGCUGGAUCCACCCAACUCAGCUAGAGCAGGGCUGCUUGGCCAGACGACAGGCCUGGCUCUCUCUCCAAAGUGGAUGAGCGCCAAAGGGGAUUUUUAAUUUCCAGAUGCUUUUAAAAUAAAAAUAAAGACUCUGCUGUAAACCGG